ensembl:lncRNA
GUUUCUCCCACACUGAGGCCAACAGAACUAUUUGAAUCCAGGCUGAAAAGAGUUCCAGCAAUGUAAGUGCCAGCUACAAAGCAGCUGUGCCAAGAGAAGAGCAGUUGUGAUGAAUAAAUGUGAUGAAGAGCAGUUGUGAUGGGAAAGUCGAAAAUAAUCCAACUGCGGAGGGCAUGGGUGAGGGAAACAAAAAGAGACAAACAUUCGCGUGUCCAAACCAUAGACAAAUGGAAAAGAAGAGGGUCUGCAAUUCAAGGUGAGACUGGUGACACACAGAUGGAACUCAUUACCUGCACUGCCACAUGCUGCUCAAGAGAAAGUUUAAUGAGGGUCAUGGCAUGUGGACCUUUGUUUUCUGACUGCAGCUACAGAAUGAAAGCAAACAAUAUCCACCACACAUCAGAAAUCAAAGAAUUUGAGUGAGGAAUUUAAUGGGCUACAAAGAUAAACAACGUACUGGGAUGUGAAUAGAGGCAUCACCUUGUCUAAGUCUUUGAAUGACAUGCACACCGUGCUUCCUGGCAAGAAACAACCAGUGCAGAAUCUCGGUUUGUGGAGAUGUUCAAAGCCAUCUUGGCACAGCCCUGGGCAGCCAGUUCUAGGUAGCCUUGUAGGGGGUUGGACCAGAUGACCCCAGAGGUCCCUUUCUACCUCAAACAUCCUUCUGGAGAAGACCUUGAAGAUCAUCAGAAUGCUGAAGAACCUGCCCUAUGAGGAAAGAAUUGGGUCCUUUCACCCUAGAGAAGAUAAGGCUCAUGGAGAACUUUAUUACAGUUUUCCAGUAGGUAAAGGGUGGAAACCCUUUACAAAGAGGACAGCAACUCUCACUACAAAAGGA